rnacentral:lncRNA from 1 species
CACCCUCUCUCUGGGCAUCCUUUCUUGGAUCUAGGAGAGAAGUAGGCGGUGAUGAGCACUUGAACUAGAUCACUAGAAGUAUUAAAUAUUAUAAUAAUUAAUAUUAUUUAUUAAGAAUUUGAUGCUCUCUAGUUUAUUUUGUAGGUAAUUAGAAGUUUGGAUUUAUACACUUCAAAUUAGACUCAAAUCAGAUUAGAUUUGAGUGAACCAGGUAACCAGCUUUUAUUCUAGUGUGAACGUAACUUCAAGAUCAAGGGUCAAAAAACAAUCUCUCCAAUCAAGGAUCCAGAUUAGAAGAUAAAUCGAACCAAGUGUAAACACGACUUAUUGAUCAAUGGAAGAGAAGCAAUAUGAAGAUCUAAGGAUCCCUAUUUGUUGCCCAGCUAUGCAACCCAAGAGGGGGGGGUGAAUUGGGUUUCUAAAAAUUUUAAGCCCAACUGAUUACUUAUGAAUAACAAAAUAAAGACUUUAAUUCAAUAUUAAUUACCUAAAGCAGGAAUGCAAGAAUAUAAUAAAGAAAUAAAGUGAAGCGAUAAAGCACACCACAAACACAAAGAUUUAUAGUGGUUCGGUGCCAACCUUGCACCUACAUCCACUCCCCAAGCUCCUACUUGGGAAUUUCAAUCCACUAUCUUUGUAUUCAACCCGAAUACAAAACGUCGAAAACUCCGACACUAGCUAUCCCAAGCU